CCCUUCCACAUUGUGGAGGCUUUGGUCUUUUGUUCUUUGCCGUAAAUCUUGCUACUGCUCACUCUUUGGGUCCACACUGCCUUUAUGAGCUGUAACACUCAGCGUGAAGGUCUGCAGCUUCACUCCUGAAGCCAUGGAGACCAGGAACCCACCAGGAGGAACGAACAACUCCACACGUGCUGCUUUAAGAGCUGUAACACUCACUGCGGAGGUCUGCAGCUUCACUCCUGAGCCAGUGAGACCACGAACCCACCAGAAGGAAAAAACUUCAAACAUAUCCGAACAGCAAAAGGAACAGACUCCGGACACGCCACCUUUAAGAACUGUAACACCCACUGCAAGGGUCUGCGGCUUCAUUCUUUAAGUCAGUGAGACCAAGAACCCGCCAAUUCCGGACCCAAGAUCACAAAUCUGAAACCAACCAGCAAUAUGACCCUUGGCAAUUUACCUAACACCCGCGAACCUCAGUUUCCUAACCUGUAAGUUGGGGGUGAUAAUACCAAUUUCCAAAAAGAUGUUGUGAGCAAUAAUGCAAUACUAUGAAUAAAGCAAUUGAUGGAGGGCCUGGCUAUUGCUGAUUAUCAUCAUCAAGCUCUUUGUCUAAUAGCAUUUGGGGAAAGGAAUGAAAUUCCCAGAUGAGAGACAAAGUUGACCAUCAGAGUCUGCAGAGUUUGCAUACCCACAUGGUAUCAGAGGUCUCCAGUAAACGCAGUUACUCCUGGGAUCCAUGAAGACAGGACAAACAGUGAGCUGGUAGCAGCAAAAGCUAAUCAAGUUAAUUGAGAUUCUAUGACCAGGCUCUGAUGUCAGCACAACCCAUUAUUUUGGAGAGUUCUUUCCGGCCUGAAAGUGAUGCUUAUUGCUUUAUUCACAAUCUACUGGCAAGAACUCAGCCACGAGGCCACACAUGAUCUCAAGGGAUGCCAAAAAAACAUAAAUUUAAAAAAUACAUCACAUGUAAUGAAAUGAAGCCUAGCCACCUGCCCAGGAAGAAGAGGAAAUGGGAUCAAUUAUCAUUCACCAGUGCCACACUGUCCAAGCUGGCUUCACAGAAGCCUCAGUUGAGUCAGUGCCAGCCCUACUCUCCUCCCUGGUACUUAAUGGUCUGUCAACAGCAGUGAUGCAGAAGCAAGGGUGCUGGAAUGGAGACAGGAGUCCUAGUGCUGACUGCCACUGGCUGUAUGACUCUGGCCGAGUUUGGGAGCUUUGGCUUAGUUAAAUUAACAGAGGAGACUUACAGGGAGCUUUUGCAAAGUCAGGAGGAAAAUGCCAUGUGGAGACAGACACACAGGGAGAAGAACUCCAUGUGACGCAGAGGCAGAGCGUGGAGAGAUGCAGGCGGAAGGAGUGCCAAGGAUUGCUGGCCACCACCAGAGGCUGGGAAGAUGCAAGGAAGGAUUCUACCCAGAGUCUCAGACAGAGCAUGUCCCUGUGGAAACCUUGAUUUCAGACUUCUGGCCCCCAGAACUGUGAGAGAAUAAAUUUCUGUUGUUUAAGCCAUC
rnacentral:lncRNA from 1 species